UAAAUGGCAUAAAAUACCAUACCAAAUUAAUCACAAUUUUAAAAAUUGCUUAAGUCCUGAUUCUAAUAAAAAUUUUAAUCUUAAGACUGUUUUUAAAAUGGAGUGAAUGUAAUUUGCAUGUUAAAAACAAAAAAAUGGGCACUACCUGCUAAUGUGUUAUGUACACUAAUUUGAAAGGAUAGAGUUUCUUGUGGAAAUGAACAGAGAUCAUUUCCUGUUAUGUCCUCAGCACAACUACUAUCAUUUCUGAGACGAAUCCACUUAAUUAUAUUUGUAGUAACACAUUAUUUUGGAGCAAACUUACUUGAUUGUAAAUCACAAAAUUCUUAUCUAAGGCUUGCUUUAAGACACCUAAACUAUUAUACUGCAGUUUACAUGUGUUUCGUGAAAUUGAGCUGGAUUUUGUUAGGCAAUAUAAGAUAUUUACUAUUGGCAAAUUGUCUUUAUUGAUUAUUUUGAGUUAUUUUCAGUCUUUCAUGUGUUCCAAAUAAUGAUAAAUUGGACAGAUAAAGAACCUUACUGCAGCUGAUAUGUCUUCAUAAAUCAUUUUUCUUCAGCAGCUUGGUGUCCUAAUUCUUAUGAUAAAUUGCCACUUUGUCACUGGGGAGUUUGGUUAGAGAGAUGUUCAGUGCUCCUGAUCAUGCCCUUUCCAUAGUAUAGUGACAUACUUAAAAGCAGCAGUUAUCUUGGGACUCCAUUGUAGAGGGUAUUGGUUUGGUAGUCUGAGGCAGCAUAAUCUUGGUAGGAGUUCUGGCCUUAAAUUGAACCUUCAGGGCCUAUGCCAUUGUGCUUACAUGGAGAUGUGUGCUCCCAAAGUGAGGUACAUAUAACCUUUAACCUUAGUUCAUCUUUUAUACUUGUCAAACCCAACUGGACAAAAAAAUGCAAUGACUACUCAUUAGGAACAUCAUGCCCUUGUAAAAUCAAUAAUUCUGCAUAGAGGAACAUGGUUAAAAAUGUAGACUUAACCACAAAUUAUUUUAAUGGGCAAAAUAGUAAAUCCUUCUGUUUAGCCUCUUAUCACUUAAAAAUUACUAAACUUAAGCUAUUUUCAUUAAGAGUUCUGGGAUAAUAUUGAGUUAUCACUGGGAUAAGUGUUGCAUUGCUGAUAAUCUUCUGGGCCCAUUUUCCAAGUGAGUGGUGAGAAUUUCUGCAACUGAAAUUGCAUCAGAACUCUGAAUAAGCCAAAUAAUUUGACUUCCUGUCAACUGUUCAAAAUAUCUUGAACUUUUUUCUUUAAGGUAAUGAGGACCAAAUUAGCUAUUGGUAUUUAUUUCUGAUGGUAGUGCAAGUUUCGUCUCUGGACUCCACCAUGCUAUUACGUCGUAACCAGCAAGGUGUUACGUGAACUGUUAAAGAAAUAAGACUCACACAUGAGCAUUCAUCUCAUUUUCCUGCUCUGCCCAGAACUACCUAUAUUGCAAGAUGGCGUUUCAAAUGCUGCUUAUGUGAAAUAUACCAGCUUUAACCUGAACUGCUGAGUGGGAAAUAUCUUUGAUUUGCUGAGUUCAGUACAUUCAGAAAUGCCACUGCCUGACUUUGUCCUACUCUUUGCAACCAGCAAGAUGUUUGAAUUCUCAAGAACAAGAGUUUCUGGUAUCAACUGGUGCUAAUUGCACACUAGACAACACUUGCAGCUGCCAGAAGUCACGGUUUUCAAGAUAUUUUGAAUGUUUCAGAAGCUAAUUUUCAUCAUGUCUGAUAGUUUAAUAUUUUGACUAUAUUCUAAAGUUAUCCAUCUGUAUUGAUACAAUGAAAAUUGAUCAGAACCUUUUUAAGUCAGAUUCUCCAUUGUAUUUAAACAUUGCCAAAUACUUUUUUUGAGAGAAUUAUCAGCCUUCAUCUUAACUCUAAAAUAACAUGGUAACACUGAUUUUAUUUCAGUUAACUUUUAAUCUGCUGUUUCAAGAAUGUUAAAUAUGUUAAAAGUAAAUGGUUUUGCUUAUGAAGAUGGUAGAGUGACAGCUCUGAUGCUUGAAGUAUUUUAUCCAGAGGCCAGACAUUUAUGUGAAGAACACAAUAUAAGCUUUUCUAAUCCCAGUCUGAGUUGACAGGACCCCCCCACUAGGGGUGAAGAGGGUACUUGUGUUCAUGCCUACUCAAAUCUUGUCCCCUGCUUUGCCCGACAUCAAGUAUGUAGGAUGUGAUGGUGGUUUUGUAAUGCAGAACUGCAUCUGCAAGAAAUGAUCCUGGCACUACCCAGUUGUAUGAUGCUAGGGAAAAUUCAAAAGCAAAUUCAAGGUACUGCCACAUUGGACCUCCCUGGUCUGGCACCCUUAGCUGUCCCAGGGGAGGUCAGUGCUCCCCUGCUGAUUGCCUUGCUCCUGGGCUUCUUUCCUGAAGGCUCUUGGCCCUGCUGCCCCAGAGUGCUCCUUGGGGUUCUUGGCUGGGGCUGUCCAUCUGCUGCCAACCCCCCUGCUGCUCAGGCCCACCUCAGCAAGCCUUGCUUCAGCUGGGAUUGUUGGCGGGGACUGACUAGCUGCCAACAGCUCCACUGCAACCAGAGGUUCCUUGGCUGGGCCUCCCUCGUCACCUGGCCCUGCUAAUCCCAGGUGUUCCCUGGCUGGUUCUGCAGCUUCCUGGCCCUGCUGAUGCUGGGGGUUCCCUGGCCAGGCAGGUCUCCUCAGAUUCUGCCUGGCCCAGUCAGGCUUCCCUAGUCCCCAUUUCUCCCACCUUUGGGGUUGUUUGGUCUAGCAAAGUCCGUGGCCCUGAUUUGGGAGGUGCAACCUGUAUUUAUCUGUUUUGCCAAGAAAAUCUUCCAAUCACCGGGUGUAAAUUCCAACUUUUUUUUUCAAUAGAAUACUAGAACUGGAAGGAACCCUGAGAGGUCCCCUACCCUCAUGGGAGGACCAAACACCUUCUAGACCAGUGGUCUCCAACCUUUUUAC